rnacentral:pre_miRNA from 1 species
UCUUAUGGAUGAGCAAAGAAAGUAGUUUCUUGAGAUGGAACCUACUUCUAGUGAAGAUGUUAAGAU